UUAUGGUCUCUGCUUAAUUUUCUCCUCCCAAAUAUUUUUAAUUCAGUUCAGAACUUUGAGGAAUGGUUCAAUGCUCCUUUCGCGGAUAGGGGUGAUGUUACUCUUACUGACGAGGAGCAGUUGUUGAUCAUUCGGCGUUUGCAUCAUGUUAUUAGGCCGUUUAUACUGAGGAGGAAAAAAGAUGAGGUGGAGAAAUACCUCCCUGGGAAGUCCCAAGUUAUACUGAAAUGUGAUAUGUCAGCAUGGCAGAAAGUUUAUUACCAACAAGUUACGGAAAUGGGCAGAGUUGGCCUACAUACUGGCUCUGGGAAAUCAAAAAGUCUACAGAACUUAUCCAUGCAGCUCAGAAAGUGUUGUAACCACCCAUACCUAUUUGUUGGAGAAUAUAAUAUAUGGCGGAGGGAAGAAAUCAUGAGAGCUUCUGGAAAGUUUGAACUACUUGAUCGUUUACUCCCAAAACUUCGAG
rnacentral:misc_RNA from 1 species